GGAAGAGUGGCCGAGUGGCUGAAGGCGCACGCCUGGAAAGCGUGUUAACGGGAAACUGUUACGUGAGUUCGAAUCUCACCUCUUCCGCCA
rnacentral:tRNA from 1 species